rnacentral:rRNA from 1 species
GCAUGCAGUCGAGGGAGCACUCUCAGUGGGUAACCGCAGGGAAUGACUGNNNNNNNNACGGGUGCGUAACACGUGAGCAACCUGCCCCAGANAUCGGNAUAGCCCGGGGAAACCCGGAUUAAUACCGAAUACCCUCAUCGGACCGCAUGGCCUGAUGAGGAAACGCUCCGGUGCUUUGGGAUGGGCUCGCGGCCUAUCAGCUUGUUGGUGAGGUAACGGCUCACCAAGGCGACGACGGGUAGCUGGUCUGAGAGGACGAUCAGCCACACUGGAACUGAGACACGGUCCAGACUCCUACGGGAGGCAGCAGCAGGGAAUAUUGCGCAAUGGGCGAAAGCCUGACGCAGCAACGCCGCGUGGGGGAUGAAGGCCUUCGGGUUGUAAACCCCUUUCAGGAGGGACGANNAUGACGGUACCUCCNGAAGAAGCCCCGGCCAACUACGUGCCAGCAGCCGCGGUAACACGUAGGGGGCGAGCGUUGUCCGGAAUUAUUGNGCGUANAGGGCUCGUAGGCGGCUCAGCAAGUCAUCCGUGAAAACCCGAGGCUCANCCUCGGGACGCCGGUUGAUACUGCUGUGNCUAGNGUUCGGUAGANGAGAAUGNAAUUCCCGGUGUAGCG